rnacentral:rRNA from 1 species
UACGUAGGGUGCAGGCGUUGUCCGGAAUUAUUGGGCGUAAAGAGCUCGUAGGCGGUCUGUCGCGUCGGCUGUGAAAACCUGGGGCUCAACUCCGGGCCUGCAGCCGAUACGGGCAGACUAGAAUUCGGUAGGGGAGACUGGAAUUCCUGGUGUAGCGGUGAAAUGCGCAGAUAUCAGGAGGAACACCGGUGGCGAAGGCGGGUCUCUGGGCCGAUAUUGACGCUGAGGAGCGAAAGCGUGGGGAGCGAACAGG